GGAACGCCCUAAGAGGUUGUGCUUGCAGGGUUGGUUGGAAGCGGUUGGCGGGCGGGCGUAUGGCGGCCAGGCCUUGAAGGUCAGAAGCGCCGUGGGGUCAGUCUUUGUGAAGCCUCAAGUCAUGAAGGCCAGGUGAGAGGGUCGGGGACUGCCAUGGACCAGCCCUGCCAUGCACCAGUCCGCCAUGCACCAGCCCUUGGGCUCAUCAUGGCGGUGGGCUAACCCACUUCAGGGAGGGUGACCGCUGAGGCACAGCUGAGAGAGAUUCCAGGGCCUGGAGGUGGUGAGCCAGGACCCUGGAGAGAGGGCUGCCCGCCCAGAUGCUGCCGAGCAGUACAGGAUGGACCAAGAGUUCAUUUCCUUACCAAGGAUGCUGAACCCAGCACAAGGUGGAAGUGGUUGAAAACCCCCAGUCAGUCGGAUGAGUGCAGCUGUCAGCUGAGGCUCAACUGCUCACCAGCAGAGGGGCCAGAUGUUUGAGAAGCUGAGCCACUAAAAGACAGCCGUAUGGCCUGGCCAAAGGACUGAGGGACACCGUGUGUGGUUUUCCAAAUCAUCCCCACUAAAAUAACUCGCCGGCUCAGGACAACGCCUAAAGAGACCAACAACUGUUUCCAAAUGAGUGUUUUGAAGUCUUCAGCACUGAGCUGCCUUCGAAGAGCUGGCUUUGCCUAUGUGGCAUGGAACCUCAUGAAUGCCCCUUCCUGAUUUGAAGCCUGUACCGUUUCAACCUCUUCUACUUGGGGCACAACUUUUCCCCCCAAAGGAAAGUUUUGCUAAGCAGGAAAGGUUGGGGGAAAUUCUUAUCUUUUGGAGGACUAGGAGUGAACUUGGACAACAUGAGAAGCAAGUGUUCUGCCUUCAGUCCCCGUACGAACUUGCCCACACUUGGAGUCACCAGUAUUACAGACAUGAACUGCCAUGCUCAGUGCCGAAGGGCUUCUUGACUAACCUGUGCAAGACCGAGCUCUAGGAGUAAGGCCAAGCCGCUUUGCGAGUUGUCAGUUGUGUGCCCCCCCCCCACGUGCAUGGAAUAACACCUGCCAAUAAACUUGUGUGGAA